UACGUAGGGGGCAAGCGUUGUCCGGAUUUAUUGGGCGUAAAGAGCGUGUAGGCGGCCAUGUAGGUCCGUUGUGAAAACUCGAGGCUCAACCUCGAGACGCCGAUGGAAACCAUGUGGCUAGAGUCCGGAAGAGGAGAGUGGAAUUCCUGGUGUAGCGGUGAAAUGCGCAGAUAUCAGGAAGAACACCUGUGGCGAAAGCGGCUUCCUGGUCCAGCACCGACGUUCAGGCACGAAAGCGUGGGGAGCAAACAGG
rnacentral:rRNA from 1 species